rnacentral:lncRNA from 10 species
GCUUAGUGUGGCCAUACGAAAAAUAAUCUCUACAAUACAAUAAGCCUAUGCUGAAACCUGAAGUCAGCAGGGAAGUCAGGAAGAGGAGAUGAUGCAAAGCAGAGGAAGCAAGGAUAAAUGGAAUCCAUGAGGACUAUCUGGAGCUCUCAAGGACUGACUGGGACCCAUGUUGAUCUUCCACUGCCUCCAAACCUCCAAUUUCAAUGACAUCAAUGCCCUGAAAAAAAAAAGUGGGCGUUCUUUUUUAUGGAGCUGGUGAAGAAGGAGGAAGAUAUGAGGGAGAACUGGAGCAAUUGUGGGCCCAACUGCUGCCUCACACCAAGGAGAUGCUUGCGCCAGGAGGACUUCCUGGAAUGUAAUCCUGUGGGAGUUCCCAACCAUAA